rnacentral:rRNA from 1 species
UACGGAGGGGCUCGCGUUGUUCGGAAUUACUGGGCGUAAAGCGCACGUAGGCGGCUUUGUAAGUUAGAGGUGAAAGCCCGGGGCUCAACCCCGGAAUAGCCUUUAAGACUGCAUCGCUUGAACACGGGAGAGGUGAGUGGAAUUCCGAGUGUAGAGGUGAAAUUCGUAGAUAUUCGGAAGAACACCAGUGGCGAAGGCGGCUCACUGGACCGUUGUUGACGCUGAGGUGCGAAAGCGUGGGGAGCAAACAGG